CAAUAGCGUAUAUUAAAGUUGUUGCGGUUAAAAAGCUCGUAGUUGGAUUUCUGUCGAAAAUGGGCGGUCCUCACUACGUGGGUGUAUUGUUUCAGUUUCGGCAUCCUCAUGGGGAACGUUGCUGCGCUUGAUUGCGUGGCGCGGUAUCCAUGACUUUUACUUUGAGGAAAUUAGAGUGUUCACGGCAGGCAAUCGCCUUGAAUAUAUUAGCAUGGAAUAAUAAUAUAGGAUCUUGGUUCUAUUUUGUUGGUUUCUAGAGCUAAGAUAAUGAUUAAUAGGGAUAAUUGGGGGUCUUUGUAUCAUGGCGUCAGAGGUGGAAUUCUUGGAUUGCCAUGCGACAAACUACUGCGAAAGCAUUGACCAAGGAUGUUUUCAUUGA
rnacentral:rRNA from 1 species